AUGUUGGUGACUCUACUGCUGGCCACCCUGGGGCUUCUUGUUCAGGGUUCAUCAGGAGAAAUCAUGGUGACUCAGUCUCCUGGAUCUCAGUCUGUUGUCCCAGGACAGACAGUCUCCAUCACAUGUAAAGUCAGUCCAGGUACUGGUUACUGUUUCAGCUGGUACCAGCAGAAACCAGGAGAAGCUCCUAAACUCCUCAUUACCUGCAGUUCAAGCCGUCAGUCUGGAGUUUCUGAUCGUUUCAGUGGAACGUACUCUGGAAAUACUGACUUCACUCUGACCAUCAGUGGAGUCCAGACUGAAGAUGCAGCAGUUUAUUACUGUCAGAGUCAACAUUACAUCAACAGUCAGUAUGUGUUCACACAGUGAAAAAGCGUCGCACAAAAACCUCCCUCAGUCAGACUGAACAGAAACUGAACUGACUGAUACAGUUCACUGAACACACAC